AAUCACUCUGUCCUUUCUAAUGCAGUCACAUGCUGGACCUAGAAGGACAGACACACAGAAGCCAGAUUUCAAGACAAGUUUAGGCUGAGGUGAUACAAGGGAUGGAACAAAGUCACUUGAAAGUAAUUCAGAUUUUGCUGGAGGCAACUAAACUGUCAGACAAGUCUGAUCUGUGAAUGAGACGUGCUGCAGAAGAGAAGAGAAUAAACGUCCUCACAGUCAUGUUGCCUUAGGCUCGGUUCCUGUGGAGGACGGGUCCGGGCCUGAAGCUCUUCAGGCACCAAAGCCUCCUGAAAGUCUCAGUCAUGUGCCAA